rnacentral:rRNA from 1 species
AUGGACCCAGCAGAGGUUUUGAACGUCAGAUUUCAUAUAGGACGGAAAUUUGUUCGAAUUGGUCCUAAUCUGGACUAUGUUGGGGGAGAUGUGGCCUACUCUCAGAUUGAGAGGGAUAAGUUGUCAUUGCAGGAGGUCAAAGGUUUUCUUGCAGAUCACUUGACAGUAAAGGAAAGCAUGAAGUUUUACUUUCUUAUGCCUAGCAGAGACUUGAUUGAUGGGCUGCUGUUUCUACAUGAUGAUGCUGGUUGCAUGAGUAUGUCAGAUCAUACAAUAGAAGGUGGAGUUGCAGACAUUUUUGUGGAGUACAAUGGAGAACAAGAUGAAGAAGGAGAGCAGGAAAGUGGCUCAUAUUUUGAAGAUGAAAUU